rnacentral:rRNA from 1 species
CAGCCGUAAACUAUGCGCGUUAGGUGUACUGGUGACCACGAGUCACCGGGGUGUCGAAGGGAAACCGUGAAACGUGCCGCCUGGGAAGUACGGUCGCAAGGCUGAAACUUAAAGGAAUUGGCGGGGGAGCACCACAACAGGUGGAGCCUGCGGUUUAAUUGGAUUCAACGCCGGACAUCUCACCGGAUAAGACAGCUGAAUGAUUGUCAAUCUGAAGGUUUUACAUGACUAGCUGAGAGGUGGUGCAUGGCGUCAGUGACU